CCCCGCUGAACUUAAGCAUAUUAAUAAGCGGAGGAAAAGAAACUAACAAGGAUUCCCCUAGUAACGGCGAGUGAAGCGGGAUGAGCUCAAGCUUAAAAUCUCCGUACAAGUUUUGUACGGCGAAUUGUAGUCUAUAGAGGCGUGGUCAGCGUGGGCUCUUGGGGCAAGUUCCUUGGAAAAGGACAGCAUGGAGGGUGAUACUCCCGUUCAUCUCCGAGUGGCUCGUGCGUACGACCCGUUUUCUUUGAGUCGCGUUGUUUGAGAAUGCAGCGCAAAGUAGGUGGUAAAUUCCAUCUAAAGCUAAAUAUUGGUGCGAGACCGAUAGCAUACAAGUACCGUGAGGGAAAGAUGAAAAGAACUUUGAAAAGAGAGUUAAAGAGUACCUGAAACUGCUGAAAGGGAACCGAAUCGUUUCCAGUGUCUAUAAUCUGUGGCAUAUUUCAUUGGCGAGUGUGUGCGUGCGUGUGCUGUGGCAGCGGCCUUUUGGCUGCGCUUGGCGUGUGUGGUGUGUGUGCUUGCUGGUGCCCUGUGCUGCGGUGGGACGUCAAUGUCAGUUCGUAUGCUGCGGGAAAUGGCUGCCGAGGAGGUAGGGCUUACGCUUGCGUUUGUCUGUUAUAUCUUGGUGGACGAGUCGUCGCGGUUGGGACUGAGGUGCCUACAACGUGCUUUUGAGUGGGUUUGUGUCUCCGUGUGUGCCGUGUGCGGAUAGCUUGCUAUGCGUGUGUGGUUAUGUGUGGAUUGAUAUGGGCUUUAACUUGUUGCCGUUCGGGACGUUGACGAAAUGGAGCGAUCCGACCCGUCUUG
rnacentral:rRNA from 1 species